CGUACACUCCUGCGGGAGGCAGCAGUGGGGAAUAUUGCACAAUGGGCGCAAGCCUGAUGCAGCCAUGCCGCGUGUAUGAAGAAGGCCUUCGGGUUGUAAAGUACUUUCAGCGGGGAGGAAGGCAAUACGGUUAAUAACCGUGUUGAUUGACGUUACCCGCAGAAGAAGCACCGGCUAACUCCGUGCCAGCAGCCGCGGUAAUACGGAGGGUGCAAGCGUUAAUCGGAAUUACUGGGCGUAAAGCGCACGCAGGCGGUCUGUCAAGUCGGAUGUGAAAUCCCCGGGCUCAACCUGGGAACUGCAUUCGAAACUGGCAGGCUUGAGUCUUGUAGAGGGGGGUAGAAUUCCAGGUGUAGCGGUGAAAUGCGUAGAGAUCUGGAGGAAUACCGGUGGCGAAGGCGGCCCCCUGGACAAAGACUGACGCUCAGGUGCGAAAGCGUGGGGAGCAAACAGGAUUAGAUACCCCUGUAGUCCC
rnacentral:rRNA from 1 species